GUGGAGGAGCCAGGGAAUCUGAGUCUCCUGCUCAGAGCCUUGUGGACCAGGAGCCUUGAAGUGAGAUUUCCAGCCCCACUGAGCCAACCUCAAACUGCAAUGUGUGCAGAGAUCCAGAGAUGAAGCUUCUGACCAAGGCCUGAAUCCCUGAGCUGCAGUGGGGAAACCAUGGCUGGUGCAGCGCCCUGGCUCUCUCACCUAACUCAGUCUGAGGGGUGUUCCUAGCUGGAUGGGAAGGGUGAAGAUUGUCUGUGGAUUGUGUGUCACCAAGCAUUGUAAAUAACAAUGACCUACAAUCAGUAGGUUUGCUCUUUGAGGCACUAUCAGUAAGUAAUUCUGAAAUACAUCUGUGUAAUAUAGGCUUAGACAAAUGGGAAAGUAUAUUAAAGGAAAUGAAACCUGGGUUUCUCAUAGUUGGAAAUGUUAGCUACAAAUAUGAAGGGGAAGAUUAAGAUGUUUGCUUUGAAAACUCAGUAGCAGUGAGCACACCAGUGACUAGAGGUUGAUCUGUAAAAUGCUUCAUUCAACGGAACUAGAGGUCUUUAGAGAAAAGGUGGCUUCCAGG
rnacentral:lncRNA from 1 species